rnacentral:rRNA from 1 species
AUUGAACGCUGGCGGCAGGCCUAACACAUGCAAGUCGAACGAGUGGCGGACGGGUGAGUAAUGUCUGGGAAACUGCCUGAUGGAGGGGGAUAACUACUGGAAACGGUAGCUAAUACCGCAUACCAUCAGAUGUGCCCAGAUGGGAUUAGCUUGUUGGUGGGGUAACGGCUCACCAAGGCGACGAUCCCUAGCUGGUCUGAGAGGCUGACCCGCCACACUGUGACUGAGACACGGCCCAGACUCCUACGCGAGGAAGCAGUGGGGAAUAUUGCGCAAUGGGGGCAAGCCGGAUGCAGCAAUGCGGCGUGUAUGAAGAAGGCCUUCGGGUUGUAAAGUACUUUCGGCAGGGAGGCGUUACCCGCAGAGAAAGCACCGGCUAACUCCGUGCCAGCAGCCGCGGUAAUAC